rnacentral:rRNA from 1 species
GUGGGGAAUUUUGGACAAUGGGCGAAAGCCUGAUCCAGCAAUGCCGCGUGCAGGAUGAAGGCCCUCGGGUUGUAAACUGCUUUUGUACGGAACGAAAAGCCUGGGGCUAAUAUCCCCGGGUCAUGACGGUACCGUAAGAAUAAGCACCGGCUAACUACGUGCCAGCAGCCGCGGUAAUACGUAGGGUGCAAGCGUUAAUCGGAAUUACUGGGCGUAAAGCGUGCGCAGGCGGUUUUGUAAGACAGUGAUGAAAUCCCCGGGCUCAACCUGGGAACUGCCAUUGUGACUGAAAGGCUAGAGUGCGGCAGAGGGGGAUGGAAUUCCGCGUGUAGCAGUGAAAUGCGUAGAUAUGCGGAGGAACACCGAUGGCGAAGGCAAUCCCCUGGGCCUGCACUGACGCUCAUGCACGAAAGCGUGGGGAGCAAACAGGAUUAGAUACCCCAGUAGUCC